GAAGGUGGGCAAGGAGGAGGAGAAAGAGAAGAGGGAAGAGUAAGAUACGAGCUUGACUAUAAGAUUAAAGCUUGUGAAAGAAACAAGUUAUUUUGGUUCACUCUCGAUCAUUAUUUAAUAUCGCGUGUGUAAACUUGUUUGAGUUAUAAUUAUUUUCUUUAUUCCAUCAUCUACGUUUCUUUUUCUUGUUUUCAUAAAACAAGUCAAUAAAAAAAAAAAGUAACAAUGUACUCAAAAAAAAUUUGUCAAGUUUCAUCGUUAAUUUCAUUUCGAUUGAAUUUAAUAAUCACUGUGUUAUUUAUUGUAAAUGUAAAAGCUUACACGAUACCAGAACCAUUAUUCGAAGUACUUGGAUCAAAAGGAUUACGUAUUUCUAUACAAGAUACACCAGGCUUGCAAUAUUUUACGUUUCAUGGAAAUUUAAAUAAACCAAUACGUUCGAGAGAUUCUGGCGAAUUAUUUGGUGAUGUAUUUCGAGCUAAAAAUGGACGAUGGAUCUUAGAAAAAGAGAACGUUAUCUUACAAGAAGGAGAUGUUAUUAAUUAUUGGAUAUAUGUACAAGUUAAUAAUACAAAUUCUAUUAAAGAAAAUCAAAGAUAUGUGGUUGGCAGUAAAUCGAAUUUAGAAAAAUCUACAACUCCACCGUCAGUCAUCGUCAGCUCAAAUACUGAAAAAUUGAUAUUCAGUGAAGAUUUUAAUAAUUUAAAUGAAUCACUUUGGUCACGUGAUAUAAAAAUGCCAUUAGGACCUGAUUAUGAAUUUUGCAUUUAUCACAAUGACAAUCAUCCGAAGCUCGUUGAAAUCGAUGAUGGUAUUCUUCGUAUUAAACCAAUUAUUUUAGAAGAUUCGUACGGAGAAAAUAUAACUGCGUACGGAACAUUACGACUUGCUGAUUGCACCAGCAAUAUCCCCCAGGAAUGUUCUCGAAAUGCUAUGUCUUACAGCAUUUUGCCACCUGUUAUAUCAGCUAGAUUUAAUACAAAAAAUCGAUUUGCAUUCAAAUAUGGUAAAAUUGAAAUCCGUGCUAAAUUUCCUGAAGGUGAUUGGCUAUAUCCAGAACUAUGGUUGGAACCACUUUACUCUCUCUAUGGCCCUAAUUAUGCUAGCGGUCGUGUUAUUCUUGGUUUUGCUCGUGGAAAUGAUAAUCUUGUCGAUGCCGAAGAUUUAGAGAAAGUUUACGACAGUAGAAAAUUGGAAUUUGGAUUGAAAUCGGGUUCCCCAACGAUCUAUGAAGAAAAUGUUCACAAAAUAGUGAAUCGUGAUUCUGAAUGGAACAAAGACUUUCACGUAUAUACAACUAUAUGGGAUGCUAAUGGAUUUAAAUUUUUAGCAGAUGGUGAAGAAAUUGGUCGUUUACUUCCUACGGUAAACGGAUGGUUACAUAAUUAUAAUACUAAUAUUCGUGGUAUGACAAAAAUUGCUCCAUUUGAUCAAGAGUUCUAUAUCAGUAUAGGUGUAGGCGUCGGAGGUCUAAGAGUUUUCCCAGACAAAACGAUUAGUUCCGGUUAUAAAAAACCUUGGAAAAAUGUAGGCGCUAAGCCGAUGCUAGAGUUUUGGCACUCUAGAAAUCAAUGGUUACCAAGCUGGAGACGAGAUAACAGUAACAAAAGGGCUUUAGAAAUAGACUAUGUGAAAGUUUGGUCGUUGUAAUGAAAAGUAAACAAUAUAAUUGUUUAUUUAUAAGUACUUUAAAAACAUCAAUUUUUGAAUUUUCUAAGUGCAUAAGACUAUAAUGAAGAUACUACUGUGUUUAAAUAUCUAUCCAUAAAUGGAUUUACGAAAGACGAAAGAUGAAAGACGAUUACAUUUAAUGCGUAUGUGAGACAUAAAGACGAGUGUAUCUUGCGUAGACUUUUAAAAGUUUUUGCAAUUAAUUCGAAUAAUAAAAUCUCGACGAAUGUUGAAAGUGACCUUAAACUGGCUUAUGCCACCCUGUCCAGUUUUCUUUCCUCUUUGAUCAUGGCUUCUAAUCUUUUUGCUUAUACACUCUCCAGUUGCCUGACAGCACUUGUGCAGUACCGGCGUGAAUACACAUCUCUUUACAAUUUUCAAAUAAAAUCAUUCUUUUGUUUUUAUACAUUCGAAUCUCUAACGAUAUUUUUCGAUAUAAAUUAAUCUUUUAAAAUUUGAUUGAUCUAAUCAUUACAAAUGACAAGUAUACGAAAUAUAAUUAUUUUUGUCACUUUGAUUUUUAUUUUAAACGGAGAAUCUUUCGCAGGAACUCUUUAUCGUCUGAAACGAUCGAAAAAUGAAUACAUAUUGCGCAGAUGUAUUGCUAGUACGGAAUUAAUUAAAAUGCACGUACCUGAAAGAAAUACAAUACGAUCGAUUUCAUCUGAUAUAGGAAAACAUGAUAUUAAUGAAACUUCCACAAUACAACGAAAGGAUAAACGAAUUAAAUCACACGAUGACGAUCGGCAACACUUUAUAUCUACAAAUUUCAAAGAUACACCUCUUAAAACUGUAAAUAUUCAGGCAGUAGAAAAAAAUAAACCUCUAAUAUUUCAAAAGAAAUAUCAGCUACCUGAACUUCAGCAUAAUGUACCUAGCAAAGCACCUGAAAUAUCAAACAAUGUUAUUACCAUUAAAUCAUCGCUGGAAAAGGACAUUUUUCUUUCUGUCAACAAAAUGUAGCAUUAAUACAAUCGCUAAGUGGUGAUUAUGCUUAAAAAAAGUCAGUAUAAAAACAUAAUAUUUUAUAUACAUUUUGUAGGCACAACUCUAUGAAAAAAAUAGUUUAUGAUUUAUAAAUAAAUUAUUUAAGGCCAAUUUCAUUUAAUUUACUGUAUGUACUAUGGUAACAGAUUUUCAAUAAUUAUGUAAAAUUAAGCAGUAUUCGGUGGUGUCUGUAUAGAUUCUGGUAAUUUCUGUAAUUCGACCUACAAAAGAAUUAUCAUUAAAAAAAAAAAAAAAAGAAAAAAGAAAUAAAAUACCAAGAACAGAAUAGAUAUCUAAACGAACCUUUGUAACUUUCAUUGCUACACCUUCUGGUAAAUUUCGUUGAAGAUAUUCUAAGAAAGUAUCUGCAGUAGAUCCUGUUAGUUUUGCAAAAUCCAUAAAUCUAUAGUAAGUUCUGCUUUCAUAUUGUACACGAUGUUUUUUGAAUAUAUGUACAGAUUUCAACACUGUUAGUCGUUCAUGCACAGCUUUUCUAGGUGUU